ACCAAGUGUGAUGUCCUUCUCCAGAGACUGGUCCCUCCUGAUAACGUGUCCAAAAACCAACAAGAAAAUGACAUGAUGCACUGAGGACACCAUCAUCACUUCUGGGUAUUCCUGCUGCAAAUGAAUGACCUGAACCUAAUAAUGAGGAAACAUCAGGCAAACAAACCCAAACAAAGAAGUCACCUGAAUGCUUCAAAAACAUCAAUUUCAUGAAAAACAAAAGCCAAGGAACUGUUUCAGAUUAAAGGAGACUAAAUAUAUGACAACUAGAUACAAUACCAUGAUUGCUGGGUAAAUACUGGAUCAGGAAAAAAAAACCUGCCAUAUGGAAAUGACUAGGACAAUUGAUAAAAUUUGAAUGAGGACUGUGUAUUAGAUAAUAGUAUCAUAUCUAUGUUAACCUGUUGCCAUCCAGUCGAUUCUAACUCACCGGGACUCUAUAGGACAGAGUUGAACUGCCCCACAGGGUUUCCAUGGAGCGGCUGGUGGAUUCAAACUGCUGACCUUUUGGUUAGCAACCAAGAUCUUAACCACUGUGCAUGUUAAAUUCCCUGCAUUUGGUAUUUGUAUUAUGGUUAUGUUAGAGAAUAUUCUUGACCUUAGGAGAUGCUGCUGAUGUAUGGAAGUGUAAAGGAUUAUGAUGUCUACCACUACUCUUAAAUAGUCAAUACAGUCAAAUGGUCAAAAUAAUAAUGUUAAUAAUA